GCCCGGGCGCAGCGCGCGCAUGCUCGGCGCGGCCGCGUGAAGCUGCAGAUACAGCAUGGAGCCGCAGCUGCCCCGAUCGCCAUCGAUAGCCACUGAUCACCUUCCGGAGCAGGAGCACGUCUGCUAUGAAGUGCUACUAAUUUAAGCUGCAGACCAUACAAUAUAUACUGUAAUCUACCUGGAUGUUCUUAACAGACAUCCAAAUUAGAUUUCCUUGAACAUCAAAUUCCAGGGCCAGCCACUUGAAAAUUACGGAAUGGCACACUAGCUUCAGCUGUCAACUGAGUUUAAAAAAAAAGUUUAAAAAUCCUGUAAUAAUAAAAACUCAGUUCUUACUUA